CUGAUGUUUACACGAGUGCGAAAGAAAAACAAAAUAUUAAAUAUACUAAAUCGUGAAAACUUUCAUCCGAGUAUCUAUGCUACUUUGUAGAUGGAUAUAAUCAGAAAAUGUAUAGAUCUUUUUUGAUUAUUGAAUUUUAGAAUAAUUUAGAAAUGGUUUGUUUUCAGAGAUUUAAAUCGACGAUAUGUUAUUUUUAAGAAGAUGAGAAGCUGCAUACUAAAUAGACAAGAUUCUUCGAAUAUUCACGUGCAAAGUAUCUGUGGUAUUUAAAUUCAAGGAACGCGCGCAUCACGCAGUCGAUUUCUUCUAGUAAUGCAUAAGCUUACUCAUUGUCAGUAUGCAAAUCCCUGGCACAAACAAGUGACUGUAUUUUACGGGGAGACGAGAUUCUUUAUCCUAAAAGUUAUAAAGUAUCUACGAGGAAGCGUGUGUAACGAUUAUAGGCGCCAAGAUGAAAAAACGAAUAGAAAAAAAAAAAGAAAAAAAAGAUGGGAGUUCCAACGAAAUUUGUCUGGCGUUCAGGUUUUCUUACCUGUUCCUGGAGAAACCCAAUCGCCAAGGAUCUAAUGCCUCCCGAUGCACGUGAACGGAGAAGCAUCGCAGGGAUUUCUUCCUUUUGGACGCGUUGUAUCGAUUUCCGCGUCGCGGAAACCGCAGAAUCCCCGAACAAGACCGGCCGGUUUCGACCCGAAACUCUGAAACCUGAGACGCCCGAUGUCUCCUCCGAAGUAACUACGAAAUAAAAAGGAUCUGGCGUUGCUCCUGCGCCGACCACCAAA